rnacentral:rRNA from 1 species
GAUUAGAUACCCUAUUAUACCAAAAAAUAAUUUAACCAAACCAAAGUAAUAAUAGCUAUAUUCUAAAAAUUUGAAGAAUUUGGCGGUGAUUUAGUCUAGUCAGAGGAACCUGUUUUUGAAUCGAUAAACCACGAAUAAUCUUACUUAGGUUUGUAAAGUAUGUAUACCAUCAUUAUUAGGUAAUUUUUAUAGAAGCAAUUACUGGAUAAGUUUGUAAUAAUGUUAAAUAUAUUAGAUCAAGGUGCAGCUUAUACUUAAGUUAAAAUGGGUUACAAUAAAAUUUAUUUAUACGAAAUUAUAAUUUAAAUAUUAUUUGGAAGGAGGAUUUGAUUGUAAAGUCAGUUUAAUAUGCUGAUUGGAUAUAAGCUCUAAAUCAUGUACAUAUCGCCCGUCG